rnacentral:lncRNA from 1 species
UUAUUAUCAUUAUCAGGUGUUAUGUACUGUACAUAAUUGUAUGUGCUGUACUUUUAUGUGAUGAGCAGAAGGUUUGUUUCUUCCAGCAUCACCACAAACACAUGAGUAAUGCGUUGCAGUAUGAUGUUCCAACAGCUCCAAAGUCACUAGGUGACAGGAAUGUUUUAGCUCCAUUAUAAUUUUAUGGGACUACCACUGUAUAUGAAAUCUGUCAUUGCCUGAAACUUUGUUAUGCAGUGCAGGACUGUAUUUUAAGCUGAGAUAAAGGCAGGGUAGAAUGGGGAAAAGAUAUUUGAGUUAGGAGA